UGCGUAGGCGGAUUAUUAAGUCAGUGGUGAAAGUUUACAGCUUAACUGUAAAAGUGCCAUUGAGACUGAUAAUCUUGAGUACGGUUGAGGUAGAUGGAAUGUAUCAUGUAGCGGUGAAAUGCUUAGAUAUGAUACAGAACACCAAUUGCGAAGGCAGUCUACUAAGCCGUCACUGACGCUAAGGCACGAAAGCGUGGGGAGCGAACAGGAUUAGAUACCCUGGUAGUCC
rnacentral:rRNA from 1 species